rnacentral:rRNA from 1 species
GACGAACGCUGGCGGCGUGCUUAACACAUGCAAGUCGAACGGAAAGGCCCUGCUUUUGUGGGGUGCUCGAGUGGCGAACGGGUGAGUAACACGUGAGUAACCUGCCCUUGACUUUGGGAUAACUUCAGGAAACUGGGGCUAAUACCGGAUAGGAGCUCCUGCUGCAUGGUGGGGGUUGGAAAGUUUCGGCGGUUGGGGAUGGACUCGCGGCUUAUCAGCUUGUUGGUGGGGUAGUGGCUUACCAAGGCUUUGACGGGUAGCCGGCCUGAGAGGGUGACCGGCCACAUUGGGACUGAGAUACGGCCCAGACUCCUACGGGAGGCAGCAGUGGGGAAUAUUGCACAAUGGGCGGAAGCCUGGUGCAGCAACGCCGCGUGCGGGAUGACGGCCUUCGGGUUGUAAACCGCUUUCGCCUGUGACGAAGCGUGGGUGACGGUAAUGGGUAAAGAAGCACCGGCUAACUACGUG